CAUUUAGGUACUCCUGUAAGUCAAG
rnacentral:piRNA from 1 species